rnacentral:rRNA from 1 species
CCUACGGGUGGCUGCAGUGGGGGAUAUUGGACAAUGGGGGAAACCCUGAUCCAGCGAUGCCGCGUGAGGGAAGAAGGUUUUCGGAUUGUAAACCUCUGUGGAGGGGGACGAUAAUGACGGUACCCAUUUAGGAAGCCACGGAUAACUACGGGCCAGCAGCCGCGGUCAUACGUAGUAUGCGAGCGUUAUCGGGAUUUAUGGGGUUAAAAGUGUGCGCAGGCGGAUGAUCAAGUCAGCGGUAAAAUUGCGAGGCUAAACCUCUUGGAGCCGUUGAUAAUGGUAUUCUUGAGUGAGUGAGAAGUAUGCGGAAUGCGUGGUGUAGCGGUGAAAUGCAUAGAUAUCACGCAGAACUCCGAUUGCGAAGGCAGCAUACCGGCGCUCAACUGACGCUCAUGCACGAAAGUGUGGGUAUCGAACAGGAUUAGAUACCCCUGUAGUC